rnacentral:rRNA from 1 species
UACGGAGGUCCCAAGCGUUGUUCGGAUUCAUUGGGCGUAAAGGGUGCGUAGGCGGCGCGGUAAGUCGGGUGUGAAAUCUCGGAGCUUAACUCCGAAACUGCAUUCGAUACUGCCGGGCUUGAGGACUGGAGAGGAGACUGGAAUUUACGGUGUAGCGGUGAAAUGCGUAGAUAUCGUAAGGAAGACCAGUGGCUAAGGCGGGUCUCUGGACAGUUCCUGACGCUGAGGCACGAAGGCCAGGGGAGCAAACGGG